UAAUUCUUGGGCUGGUUCUUAGGAGCAAGGCCUUUGGGCCUUCAGGUCUUUGGACCUUGCCUCUUAAACAAGCUAUCUUACUCCAUCUUGGACUCUUCUUAGGCCUGGAGCACCUGUUCGGCUUCAAGAAAAUCUAGUCCAUUUGAAAAUUAGCCCACAAGCUUACAGGAAUCCUCCCGCGGGUAAGAAUCCUCCUCCAUGUAUGAAAAGGCCUCGCAG
rnacentral:lncRNA from 1 species